UAGGCCGGCCUCUUCACUGAGGCCCCCUGGAGACGGGAGCAGCCCGCCGGCGGCCAACUAAACUCUUGUUUCUAAGUGAAUCUCUGAGUAAAAAACAUAAAUGAAUCAAAACUUUCAACAACGGAUCUCUUGGUUCUGGCAUCGAUGAAGAACGCAGCGAAAUGCGAUAAGUAAUGUGAAUUGCAGAAUUCAGUGAAUCAUCGAAUCUUUGAACGCACAUUGCGCCCCCUGGUAUUCCGGGGGGCAUGCCUGUUCGAGCGUCAUUUCAACCCUCAAGCCUGGCUUGGUGAUGGGGCACUGCUUCGAAGGAGCAGGCCCUGAAAUUCAGUGGCGAGCUCGCCAGGACCCCGAGCGUAGUAGUUAUAUCUCGCUUGGAAGGCCCUGGCGGUGCCCUGCCGUUAAACCCCCAACUUCUGAAAAUUUGACCUCGGAUCAGGUAGGAAUACCCGGUGAACUUAAGCAUAUCAAUAAGCGGAGG
rnacentral:rRNA from 1 species